AUUGAACGCUGGCGGCAGGCCUAACACAUGCAAGUCGAACGCGUGGGGCACGGGUGUGUUAUGUCUGGGAAACUGUCUUAUGGAGGGGGAUAAACUCGGAAAACGGGAUAAUAUAGCGUAUCCUCACAGAUGUGCCCAGAUGGGUUUAGCUAGUUGGUGGGGUAACGGCUCACCAAGGCGACGAUCCCUAGCUGGUCUGAGAGGAUGACCAGCCACACUGGAACUGAGACACGGUCCAGACUCCUACGGGAGGCAGCAGUGGGGAAUAUUGCACAAUGGGCGCAAGCCUGAUGCAGCCAUGCCGCGUGUGUGAAGAAGGCCUUCGGGUUGUAAAGUACUUUCAGCGGGGAGGCGUUACCCGCAGAAGAAGCACCGGCUAACUCCGUGCCAGCAGCCGCGGUAAUAC
rnacentral:rRNA from 1 species